rnacentral:tRNA from 1 species
UGGGGGAUCGUCUAAUGGUAGGACGGUUGGCUCUGGACCAAUUGAUCGGGGUUCGAAUCCCUGUCCCCCAG